CUACCCAAAAGUUUUAAAGAGGGAAAAACAAAAAUAAUUUUUUUCUCCACCAAGUUACUAUGCCCUCCUUCUUCAUCUGCUGCUCCGCUCUACUCCUUCGUGCGUGAUGUUCCGUUGAUCAAUCCUAUUAUACUCUCUGCCAAGUUGCUCUCUUUUUUGUCUCUUUGUUGCAACAUAGGGAUUCAAGAUCUCUAACAUUUUACAGUGCAGAAGAAGCAUUCAUAGUACUUUCAAUCAGGUGGACAUCAAUCACAUACACUCUGUUUCAUCUCUCUAAAUUGGAAAUUGUACUAAAAAGGACCUCUAUUAUCUCAUCAGAUGGUGUAAAUAGUCAAUCUAUAUCAUUAUCAGUGAGGAAAGUGGAGCUGGAAAGAGUAUGACAACAAUUUUCUAUGGAGCAUCUGAUAGAAAGUGGUCACAGUGAAAUGGGAAAAUUUGUUGAUGUUUGUUAAAGAGUUGUUUGGUAUAAUGGAAAAUGUACUUGCAUCCUUUCUUAUGUUUAAGGAACAAUAAUUUCAUCUUUUCAAGUUUGAAAUGAAAAAAAAUACUACCACCAGGAGCUUCAUACAUGAAGCAUAGAUGAAUACAUCCAAAUUGAUAUUUGUGGGAAAUGGCAAAAAAGUAGAUGUCAAAAUACCUGUCAGCCAGGUACACUUAUGAUCUUCUUGGAUGUUUUGUAAGAUAGGAUCUUAUUGAUGUCAAUAUGUAAGAAUUCAUUUAGAAAUUUAAUUGCGGAGCAUUUAUUGGUUGAAGUCAAAGUAGCAAUAUAACAUUUGUAACAAUAUAGUAGUUUAACCUGUAUAAUUUGUUGGUAUA